AACGAACGUUGGCGGCGUGGUUGAGGCAUGCAAGUCGCACGAGAACGGGGUAGCAAUACCCCUAGUAAAGUGGCGGAAGGGUGAGGAAUGGGUAGAUAACGUACCCUUGAGAUGGGCAUAACGUUCCGAAAGGGACGCUAAUUCCCGAUAAGACCACAGUGUAGAAAUGCACAGAGGUCAAUGGCUGGGGAUCUUUCGGACCUAGCGCUCAAGGAUCGGUCUGC
rnacentral:rRNA from 1 species